rnacentral:rRNA from 1 species
GAUGAACGCUGGCGGCGUGCCUAAUACAUGCAAGUCGAGCGAACAGACGAGGAGCUUGCUCCUCUGACGUUAGCGGCGGACGGGCGAGUAACACGUGGAUAACCUACCUAUAAGACUGGGAUAACUUCGGGAAACCGGAGCUAAUACCGGAUAAUAUAUUGAACCGCAUGGUUCAAUAGUGAAAGACGGUUUUGCUGUCACUUAUAGAUGGAUCCGCGCCGCAUUAGCUAGUUGGUAAGGUAACGGCUUACCAAGGCAACGAUGCGUAGCCGACCUGAGAGGGUGAUCGGCCACACUGGAACUGAGACACGGUCCAGACUCCUACGGGAGGCAGCAGUAGGGAAUCUUCCGCAAUGGGCGAAAGCUUGACGGAGCAACGCCGCGUGAGUGAUGAAGGUCUUCGGAUCGUAAAACUCUGUUAUUAGGGAAGAACAAAUGUGUACGUAACUAUGCACGUCUUGACGGUACCUAAUCAGAAAGCCAUGGCUAACUACGUG